GGGUUUCAGCAGUGUGGAAGGCCUUGGUGAGACGCGGUUUGCUGGAAGGAACCCUGGCCAGAGCUAGUGGAUCUGUCCUGGAUAGUUUUUUCUUCCCUCCCUUUUGGAGAGAGGGAUCUGCAGGACUCAAAUGCUCCUUCAUCUUCCUGUAUCCAGACAGAGAAGGGGAGCAGGGUGGAACAGCGGGAGGAAGAGAAAUCCUUGCCAGCCCCGUGGCCAGUCCGGAUGACAGCUGCCGUGACAGCCUCUCCACCGCUGGAGCAUUCGCCUCUGUCGCUCUCUGAGUUGCUCUUUACAGAGGAUGUUUUUACCCAGGAGAAGCCAGAUACCAUUUGGCUUCCAGCAAGGAGGCAGUUUUCUGGCUGAGAGAAUUUAUCUGGAUAAGUCUCACGUUCUCUUUAACUUUUUUGAUGGGAGGGAGGGGGGUGUCAGAGAAGAUUUAUUUAUGUAUAUAUUUUCAACUUCUCUCCUUCACCCUUCCCGAAACCCUCACUGCCCGUGUCAUGGGAGAACAAUGUGGGCUGCUCCCACACGGUGGCACUACUUGCCCGGCUGAGGGGCUGCCUGGUCGUGUCCCGCACUUGUCCCUUCUGCCUGGCCCCUGCGCCUGCCCACUGGUUGCCCAGGGGAAGACCUGCAAUGGGGCUGUUGGGUUGUCAGCAGUCGAGCUCUUGGCACCUCUCUCUCUGUGGCCCCCUGCACAUGAUGCAGCUGGUUGGUGGAUCAGAGAUCUGUCUGGUUGACCUUCUGCUCCUCCUUGUGGGAUCUUGGGGAGGGAGAAGACCACUGGGUUACAGCAGCUUUGAAAACGUGUGAUGAGAACAGUCCUGCUCACCCCUAGCUAGCUCAGAGCAGUAAUUCUCAAAGCUGCUUCUCUCAUCAUGAUACCUCCUGACAUAUCUUGUUUUCCCUGCCUCAGCUCUUCCCCAGGCCCCUCUUGUUUCUUGUCACUGCUGCCAUGCUGAACCACUUUUUCCAAACAUGACCCUGGAAUUGUUCAAGGCCAGGCUGGAUGGGGCUUUAGGCAACCUGGUCUAGUGGGAGAUGUCCCUGUCCAGGGCAGGGGGUUUGGAACUAGACAAUCUUUAAAGUCCCUUCUAACCUGAACCACUGUGUGAUUCUAUGAGCUCUCUGCAGCACCUCCAAUGAACUCCGUCAACACCUUGGCCCUCCAACCCUGUUCCUCUCUCUCAACAUCCCUAUAACUCCCCCACACUCUGCUUUUUCCUUUGCUCCCCCUUUAUGCCCGUGUUCCUUGUCCUGUUUGCUCAGCGCUGUUUGGGAAUCCAUCCGACAGCCCGGGCCGUAACACAGACUUGCAGAUGGACUGGCCUUUCCCUUCCUGAAGUCAGGCUUUUGAUCGUGUUACAAGCGAGUCAGGUAUUGAGCUCUGAGGUCAGCAGUGCUGUGAACUGGGGACACUCCAGCCUGCUCACCCUCUCUUUUUUCUUUUUUUUUUUUUUUUUUUUUCCCCCAGCAAGACCAAGUUGACCAUAAAAGAAGAAAUACUGGAAAAGCGUGGGGUGCCUGGUGGAAUCUUCGUGCCCAGACCUGACUUGUCCCAGCCCUUCAACCUCUCCCCUUCAGAAGAGCUUUGCAGUAUCUUACUGAGAAAGGGGAAAACUUCUGCACGUGAAACAGGAGAACCUGAACGCAGGUGGCAGCUUGCAAAUCUUGCGUAGGUUGCCCAGGGAGGUUUUGGAUGACGCAUCCCUGGAAGUGUUCACGGCCAGGCUGGACGGGGCUUUGAGCAACCUGGUCUAGUGGGAGGUGUCCCUGCCCAUGGCAGGGGGUUUGGAACUAGAUGAUCUUUAAGGUCCUUUCCAACCCGAACCAUUCUGUGAUUCUAUGAUCUGUCUGCUCAAAGAGCAGCCGGGCACUCUGAGCAGCACCAGCCCCGCUAACAGUGUGUGAUGCUACCUCAAGGCAGAGACUCCAUCACUGCCCAGCAGCUCAGCAGGAGAACCGAGGGAGGCUGGAGUGGUCCAGGGGAAGCUGGAAAGCAAAUGCCAAACUUAAUAGCAGAGGGACAGGCUAUAGACUUGAGUGCCUGCGUAAAUUCAUACAGGAGCACAAAAGACAUAGACAAGGGAUUCUUUGUGGUGGUUGGUGUUUUGAAGACUGCUGCAAGUGGUGAUGCUCCCACUCGGCUCUUCCCGUUUGGUUGGAAGGCAAGACUUGACAGAUCAAAGGGGGAGAAAGCUCCAUGUCUCAGCAGUGGAGAUAGAGGAGGAAGAGAAUUGCAGGUCCUUAACGCACAGGAGCAGGAGGAUAUAAUGGAGCGGGGCGAUGUGAGAAGACCAGUGGAACCUGGAAGACCAGAUCUUUGUGGAACUGAUGACUAUUUCCGCAGAGUGGGAUGUGCUCCAGUGCAAGGUAGUGAAUUUGUGGCCUUGCAUCUGUGCUGGUUUGGAGGGUUUUGGAGAGAGCACGUCAAAGUGGGUUGAGGAGUGACUUCUCCGUAAAGAUCUGCUGACUCUAACUUCUUCAGGCUUGGCAAAGCUCUCUUGAUCUUGCUGAUUGUGCUGAUUUUGGCUGGGACAGAGUUACUUUUCUUCAUAUUAGCUUGUAUGGUGCUAUGCUUUAGUGUAGUGACUAAACUAGCCUUGCCAACACACCCGUGUUUUAGCUACCGCUGAGCAGGGCUCACGCAGAGCCGAGGCCUUUCCUGCUCCUCACACCACCCCACCAGCGAUGGGCUGGGGGUGCGCAAGCAGCUGGGGGGAUGCACAGCUGGGACAGCCGACCCCAACUGACCGAGGGGAUAUUCCAGACCAUGUGCUGUCAUGCCCAGCAAUAAAAGCUGGGGAAGAAGAAGGAAGGAGCGGACGUUUGGAGUGAUGGCGUUUGUCUUCUCUGGCAACCAUUACGCAUGAUGGAGCUGUGCUCUCCUGGAGAUGGCUGAUCGCCUGCCUGCCGAUGGGAAGUGGAGAAAAUUGACAUGAGAAGUGUUGCCUGAAAACAGAGUUCCUGAAAUACCAACAGGAACUGGCGCUGCUCAGAGCUCAGAAGAUGGAAGACUUGCCCUGCAGCAAGAAAUGCACGUGUUACUGCCAAGCUGCACGGCAGAAGCAGAAAGCAAAGCUGGCGAGGCCUGCAGAGGAGAAGGCUGAACUGAUGGAGAGACUCAAGGAUACAGAGAUGCACUUAGGGGGUGCUGAGGGAGGCACAGGUUUCCUGCAGGGCCCCAGAGAAAGAAGACGUGAAGAGGUCAGAGCUGUGGGUUGGCUGGAUGGCGGUCCCCGUUAUCCCUAAGGUGUGGGAGAGGGCAGGAGUGAUGGUGGGCUGCUGUUUCCACAGGACACUGCUUCCCUGGUAUCUAUCACCCUGCUGUAUGUGUAACUGGGUUGUAAGUGAGGAUCCUGCUGUUGUGAGGAGGUAGAAUCACCAGAUGAAUCCAAACAAUUGAUCUGGCUUCAAAGAUGACCUACAGAAACAUGCUUUAUCCAAACUAUCUCUGUCCUAUACCUUUCCGCUGGAUCCCUUGCACAGUCUUGGGUCUGUAAUGGAGAUAAGAAUGGGAUGGAGCAAGGCACCCCAGCGCACGUGGUACUGCUGUGUUAUGGAGAAACUUAAGAACCUGCCUGUGAAUGCGAGCUGGCUUCUCUCGUUCAUCCAGGAUAUUACCUUUGAUUAAGGUGGAUCAGGUGGAUGAGAUCUUGCAGACCAUACUGGAGGAGGCAAACCUCAUGGUGGAGUAGUCCCCUCCCUCCUGCCACCGUGCCUUUUGCACCUGGUCAUUAAUAAAACCCUGGUUUCUUUGCUCAUGCUCUAGGUCAUCAUUCUGGUGGGGCAGGGUGUUCUCCUUCCCCUCCUCUGGUUUUGCAGGACCGGCAUGGCUCUUCUGCUCCCCAUCGCUGGGGCUGGUGUUCCCCAGGCGGUGGAAACCCAGAGGCAAUGCGAGCAGAGGGGACUGCAGCGCAGGCACGGCUCCCAGCACAGCCAGGCUGGGUCCCGCCUGGCCAAGGGACACCCCAGCAACCCCUUGGCCACCCUCCUUAGCACUCCGGGUGGCGUAGCGGAGAGGCAGGGAGACCCUGCUGGUGGCUGCCCAGCUCCUGGUGCAAGAAGUAUCCCAGGAAAGUGCAGCCCGGGCACUCCUCAGUGGCCAUGCUGGAGUCCUCGUGUGACUAACACAGCUGACCAGGCUAGAGCAGAAUGGUGCUGAGGGUCAGGAUUUGGCCCCUUUCCCUCUGGGAAGCAGUUUCGAGUUCAUAGGUCUGAUCAGCCCACGCAGCAGCAGCUAAACUAGGUCCCUGCCUGCCUUUUCCUCUUGAGCGUGUCUGUUUGUUUGUUAAAUAAUGUAGCAAUGCAAGGUUCCUUGAACUAAAUUUGUCUUCCUGUGUAGCUAUGGGAACAGUUGGUGGUACGGUGACGCUGGGGCUGGCAGUCGGGUCUGCUGCAAGGCUCGGGGCCAGCGUGGCUGAGCCCAGCUUCGUUCAACAGAGGCUCUCCUGUGGGAGCUUCACCUUUAAAUGUGCUUUUUAGGCUUGUUUUCAUAGACUCUUCUUUGGUCACGCUGCUGGCUAUCCUUUUAACCUGGGAAAUGUUGGGGACGAUGGGGUGUUUGGAGGAAGACGUGGGGCUUGAGAGCAGCCAGACGUGACAUGGGGGAACGAUCUCUCUCAGACCAAAGGGUGCUGCAGCUCCCUGUCCUGCUCCCAGCAUGGUUCCUGGGGAAAAACAAAGGGCAAGUGCAUAUAGUUCAGUAGAGUUCAAGCCUGUACUUGUUUCCAGCUCAGAAGCUUCCUGAAUCCAACAUGGUUUCU